GUUGCAGUUAAAAAGCUCGUAGUUGGAUUUCUGCGGGGGCGGGGCGGCCGGUUGCUUAUAGCAACUCGAGCUAGCACUUCCCCUGCAUCCUGCCGCGAACCGUGCUACCAUUAGUUUGGUGGCGCCGGGGAUCGGCUCGUUUACUUUGAGAAAAAUAGAGUGUUCAAAGCAGGCCACACGCCUUGAAUAAGUUAGCAUGGAAUAAUGAUAAAGGACUUCGGUUCUAUUUUGUUGGUGUUCGGGACUGAAGUAAUGAUUGAUAGGGACAGUUGGGGCGGUCCGUAUUCCAAAGCGAGAGGUGAAAUUCUUAGACCUUCGGAAGACGAACAGCUGCGAAAGCGUUCCGCAAGGAUGUUCCCUUUGAUCAAGAACGAAAGUUGGGGGAUCGAAGACGAUCAGAUACCGUCGUAGUCUCAACUAUAAACUAUACCAGCUAGGGAUCGGCCAACGUUUACUUACACCGACUUGGUCGGCACCUU
rnacentral:rRNA from 1 species